UGCCUAACAACUUCAAUCCCUACUUCCUCGUGGUACUGGCCGGGGUAUAAGUAACCUUAGGUCUGGUAACUAACCCCGAUGGGAACUUUGGUCGUAUGCUGUCAGGGAAGG
rnacentral:ribozyme from 1 species